GGGAAAGGACAAAGUGGAUGCAGGUAUCCGCUCUGAGUGUCUCCCUGGGGAAAUGGUUGCCUAGUUGGGGGGAAGUAGCCGUUUUCUGUGCAAGAAUUACAGCUGGGAGAUGCUGCCAGUCUCAGCUGGAGUACGGGUCACGGCGCUUUUGAUCCCAGGUGCUGUGACAUCAUCUUCCUCUGGGUACCUCCCUGUGUGUGGGCAGACCCAUGGAAACCGGACACAGAGAAAAUAGCAGUACAGAGGCAUGGAUCAGGUUGCCUCUUAUUAUCUUUCUGAAUUCAAACUUCAGAGUCCAGAAAUCUCAUCAUACCUACAUGGGCACAUCUACCAAGUCAUUCUCUGUAGCAGGAAUUCCCCUCCUACCUCAUUGCCUGGCAAGAAAUUAGGAUCUAUUCUGAGAUGUUCUCUCCAUCACUGUGUCUUAGGGUCACCACUGCUGUGAUGAGACACCAUGAUCAAAGCAACUUGGGGAGGAGAGGGUUUGUUUGGCGUACGCUUCCACAUCACUGUUCAUCAUCAAAGGGAGUCGGGACAGGAACUCAAGCAAGGUGGGAAGCUGGAGGCAAGAGGUGAUGCAGAGACAAUGGAGGGUGAUGUUUACUGGCCUGCUCUCCAUGUCUUCCUCCGCCUGCUUUCUUAUAGAAUCCAGGACUACAACCCAGGGAAGGCACCACCCACAAUGUGCUGGGCCUUCCCCCAUCGAUCGCUAAUUAAGAAAAUGCUCUAAG